GUGGGGAGCAAACAGGAUUAGAUACCCUGGUAGUCCACGCCGUAAACGAUGUCGACUUGGAGGUUGUGCCCUUGAGGCGUGGCUUCCGGAGCUAACGCGUUAAGUCGACCGCCUGGGGAGUACGGCCGCAAGGUUAAAACUCAAAUGAAUUGACGGGGGCCCGCACAAGCGGUGGAGCAUGUGGUUUAAUUCGAUGCAACGCGAAGAACCUUACCUGGUCUUGACAUCCACGGAAGUUUUCAGAGAUGAGAAUGUGCCUUCGGGAACCGUGAGACAGGUGCUGCAUGGCUGUCGUCAGCUCGUGUUGUGAAAUGUUGGGUUAAGUCCCGCAACGAGCGCAACCCUUAUCCUUUGUUGCCAGCGGUCCGGCCGGGAACUCAAAGGAGACUGCCAGUGAUAAACUGGAGGAAGGUGGGGAUGACGUCAAGUCAUCAUGGCCCUUACGACCAGGGCUACACACGUGCUACAAUGGCGCAUACAAAGAGAAGCGACCUCGCGAGAGCAAGCGGACCUCAUAAAGUGCGUCGUAGUCCGGAUUGGAGUCUGCAACUCGACUCCAUGAAGUCGGAAUCGCUAGUAAUCGUGGAUCAGAAUGCCACGGUGAAUACGUUCCCGGGCCUUGUACACACCGCCCGUCACACCAUGGGAGUGGGUUGCAAAAGAAGUAGGUAGCUUAACCUUCGGGAGGGCGCUUACCACUUUGUGAUUCAUGACUGGGGUG
rnacentral:rRNA from 1 species